UCUGGUAACUAUGGCAAAGAGGUCACACCCGUUCCCAUACCGAACACGGAAGUUAAGCUCUUUAGCGCCAAUGGUAGUUGGGGGUUUCCCCCUGUGAGAGUAGGACGUUGCCAGGC
rnacentral:rRNA from 1 species